CUGCUCCUGUUUUCAUUCCAAGGGUGGAGGGUGAAGGAGAGCUUUAGACACCACCUGGAAACUUCUGUGAGCCGUGAGGUCACAAUGGGAGUGUCACGGACACGGCGACACCUUCCAGGUCAUGAAUCCAAACCUCCCAUUGCAGCUGGAAAGAGGGAGAAAUUCCUGCCCUCCCUUGAUCCCAAAAGUUAAGAGACAAAUUCAGGAGCAGGUGCUCCAGGCCGUAUCCAAUCCCCAAACCCCACUGGAAUGCCCUAAUCCUGGGACAAGCCCUUCUCCUGUGGCAAGGAAAAGGAUGCUCCGGGAUCCAGGCCAGCCAGGACACACCCCCAGGAGGAAAAGCGCGGCCUCCAACGACCCAAAAAGCCAAAUCCUCCCAGUGGCUGGGGCUGUAAAUCUUCACUAUCCCAGCACCCAACGGUGCUGGAAAAGAGGUUGAGCCUAGAAGUCGGCAGGAAUUCAGCACUAGCACUUCUGGGGAAAGAAAGAAAGAAACUGCAGUUUUCCAGCCAGAACCCAAAAGCAGGGAAACAUUAAAUAAACAGGAGGGAAGGGGAAGUGAAAGCCA